rnacentral:rRNA from 1 species
UACAGAGGGGGCAAGCGUUAUUCGGAAUUAUUGGGCGUAAAGGGCGCGUAGGCGGCCUGGUAAGUGGAAGGUGAAAUCCCUCGGCUUAACCGAGGAACUGCCCUCCAAACUGCUUGGCUUGAGUCCGGGAGAGGUGAGUGGAAUUCCCAGUGUAGCGGUGAAAUGCGUAGAUAUUGGGAGGAACACCAGUGGCGAAGGCGGCUCACUGGACCGAAACUGACGCUGAGGCGCGAAAGCGUGGGGAGCAAACGGG